rnacentral:tRNA from 4 species
GCCCGAGUGGUGGAAUUGGUAGACACGUUGGACUUAAAAUCCAAUUCUAAUUAAAUUGGAGUGCCGGUUCGAGUCCGGCCUCGGGUA